AACGUAGGUUCCGAGCGUUAUCCGGAUUUACUGGGCGUAAAGCGCGUUCAGGCGGUUUGGCAAGUCGGGCAUGAAAUCCUUCGGCUCAACCGGGGGAGGUUGUCCGAUACUGCUGAACUGGAGGGCAGUAGAGGGUGGUGGAAUUCCGGGUGUAGUGGUGAAAUGCGUAGAGAUCCGGAGGAACACCAGUGGUGAAAGCGGCCACCUGGACUGCACCUGACGCUGAAACGCGAAAGCUAGGGGAGCGAACGGG
rnacentral:rRNA from 1 species